UUUGGUGGUCAUAGCGAAAGCAAUACACCCGGAUCCAUUCCGAACCCGGAAGUUAAGUGCUUCCACGCCAAUGGUACUGCGUCUCAAGACGUGGGAGAGUAGGUAACUGCCAAAC
rnacentral:rRNA from 1 species